GAAGCCCGCCAGACUGCCGCUGGUGCAAUUCUGGAAACAGAGCACUGGAGGAACGUCCGGACUGCAUAGGGCAGCGUAGCAGCUAACAGCUGUCCACUGAAAGCUUGGCCCGCAAGGGCUGGGUAUAAGGUGAGGAUCAGAGCAACAGAGACGAGUCGCAGCGGGGCAACCUGGUGCGGGUGAAACGGGCAAUCUCUACGCGCAGCAAUACCAAGUAGGCCAGCGUUGAUGGGGCCCCCAGAGCUGGCGGGUAGGUAGCACCGAGCUGUUGGGUGACCAACAGCCCAGAUUAAUGGCAGUCACGCCCGGGGCAACCCGGGCGCACAGAAUCCGGCUUAUCGGUGGGCUUCACAC
rfam:Thiothrix lacustris isolate A8 Ga0073116_1002, whole genome shotgun sequence.